GCUGCACCGUCUUCUACCUACGAUUCUAAUACAGUGUUAGCUUCUGGAAGAAUCCCGCCGACGCCAUUUUCUUUGCUCGGUGAACUGACUAAGUGGGGGAGUAUACGACAAACUGCUCAAACUACCCAUAGUGUGUGUGAAGCAUGCAGAGAGGAAGCCUCGCAUUCCGUCUGACAGCCGGCGACACCACCCAGCCUUACCUAUCCGAGCCGUCUCAGUCUUGAAGGUGCUGAAGUCCCAGUUCCGAGGUAGUUUCAGAGACAUUCUCCAACGGCACAGGUAAGGUGCUUAAGUUCCCACAUGCACCUUUUUGCUAAAACACGCACACAUACACACGCCACACACACACUCUUUCGCACGCACACAUUAAAGCACGCAAACUGAUGAUAAUGCAGAUCACACUUCCUGUUUCCUGUGUGUUAAUUGCUCUGUUUUUUUUUCUUUUCCUCCAGGUAGCAGCUUGUAACUCAUCUCUUCAUGUCGCCUGCGUUUCCAUGUUAGUGCCCGUCUUCAUGAAGCUGACCAAGUGGCUGGGAGGGGGGGAAGUGGAUUUGCUGUGCAGAGUCUUCAAGUGACUAAUGUUCACCGGUGUCAAGAGAAGAAAAGAAGAAGAAACCACCACCAGCGUCUUCUUAAAGGAAAUGGUUUUAUGCCUCUUGUUAUGACUGGCUCAGAGAGCAUGUUGCCUCACCACUUGGGCUGCAGGGGCACAAAUCCAUCCAGCUACUAUAUCUGCAUACCCACUUCUCUAAAAGGUGGAAGCCUACGCCGCCACCGACAGAAAGGUCUCCAUCAUCAAACAAAAUGAGAACUUUUUAUAGAGGCUGGUGAGGAAAUCGACCAAAUAAGUUUCAAAAUGGGGAAGAUGACCACAAAAAAAAGAGAAG